CCUACGGGAGGCAGCAGUGGGGGAUAUUGCACAAUGGGGGAAACCCUGAUGCAGCGACGCCGCGUGGGUGAAGAAGCGCCUCGGCGCGUAAAGCCCUGUCAGCAGGGAAGAAAAUGACGGUACCUGAAGAAGAAGCCCCGGCUAACUACGUGCCAGCAGCCGAGGUAAUACGUAGGGGGCAAGCGUUAUCCGGAUUUACUGGGUGUAAAGGGGGCGCAGACGGCGAUGCAAGCCAGGAGUGAAAGCCCGGGGCCCAACCCCGGGACUGCUCUUGGAACUGCGUGGCUAGAGUGCAGGAGGGGCAGGCGGAAGUGCUGGUGUAGCGGUGAAAUGCGUAGAUAUCAGGAGGAAGACCGGUGGCGAAGGCGGCCUGCUGGACUGCAACUGACGUUGAGGCCCGAAAGCGUGGGGAGCAAACAGGAUUAGAUACCCUUGUAGUC
rnacentral:rRNA from 1 species